rnacentral:rRNA from 1 species
GAUGGACGCUGGCGGCGUGCCUAAUACAUGCAAGUCGAGCGAACAGACGAGGAGCUUGCUCCUCUGACGUUAGCGGCGGACGGGUGAGUAACACGUGGAUAACCUACCUAUAAGACUGGGAUAACUUCGGGAAACCGGAGCUAAUACCGGAUAAUAUAUUGAACCGCAUGGUUCAAUAGUGAAAGACGGUUUUGCUGUCACUUAUAGUUGGAUCCGCGCCGCAUUAGCUAGUUGGUAAGGUAACGGCUUACCAAGGCAACGAUGCGUAGCCGACCUGAGAGGGUGAUCGGCCACACUGGAACUGAGACACGGUCCAGACUCCUACGGGAGGCAGCAGUAGGGAAUCUUCCGCAAUGGGCGAAAGCCUGACGGAGCAACGCCGCGUGAGUGAUGAAGGUCUUCGGAUCGUAAAACUCUGUUAUUAGGGAAGAACAAAUGUGUAAGUAACUAUGCACGUCUUGACGGUACCUAAUCAGAAAGCCACGGCUAACUACGUG